UCUGGUCUGGCGCACCCCAGUAUCAGCUCGAUCCAUUUGACCGCGUGCAACGCAGAGCAGCUCGAAUUGUCGGGGACCCAGUACUCUGUGAACGACUGGAUCACUUGGCGUUGCGUAGAGACGUCGCUUCAUUGUGUGUCUUCUACCGCAUUUAUCACGGGGAGUGUUCCGAAGAGCUGUUUUACCUAAUUCCUGCCGCCGAAUUCCACCUUCGCACGACACGCCACAAGUUAGGAUAUCAUCCUCACCAUCUGGAUGUGUGGCGGUCCUCCACAGUGCGGUUUACAAGGAGCUUUCUUCCACGUACUACAAAGCUGUGGAAUGAGCUUCCUUGUGCGGUGUUUCCGGGACGAUACGACAUGGGUACCUUCAAAAAAAGCGCGUACACCUUCCUUAAAGGCCAGCAACGCUCCUGUGAUUCCUCUGGUGUUGCAAGAGAAUUGUGGGCGGCGGUGAUCACUUAAC